AUUUUGCAGAGGAGGAAACUGAGGCUAAGGAAGGUAGAGGUUGUGUGGUUUGCUCAAGGAUGGAAAUAUAAAGUCACAGAGCAAGGACCUAAAUCCAGCCAUUUCACAGGAAAGGAAGCCAAGCCUCAGAGAGGCCGCGACUCUCCCUCAGAUACCCCGUGGCACGGCUGGGGCCAGGACCGACCUCUGCACGUUCUGAGUCCUGCAGGCGCAUUUCCAGGAGAGAGGAGAGCUGACAGAGAGCUCCAGGAGGGUCCAGGAGCCAGGCCGGGGGCAGGGUGACGAGUGUGGCCGUUCCAGAGUCUGCCGGCAGAGGGCGCCGCCGCCCCGCAAGUCGGCCAGGCCACGCCCCCUAGCAGGACCCGCCCCUUUGCAGGGGGGAGCCACAGCACCCUGCCAACUCCAAGAUGGAAGGAUCACUGAAGCUUAGGAGGUGUCCCUGAAAGCAAAAAUUCAUGUGUCUUAGGCAACCUGGUGGCCUUCUGCUCCUGGGAGCUCCCCAUAUUGAUUGCAUGCAAGACACAUCUCUAAAAAUAAAAAUAAAUUAUAAAAAAAUA